UUGGAGCUGGACUCACCAGGAACUGGUGGGGGAAAGGAGGGCGGAUGGUUAAAUUCUCCUUGUGUUAAGCUCCAAGGAGUUGGAUCGGUGUUCAUCAGGAAAUUGGUGGAAAAAGUCUCUCAAGACUACCCAGGGAAGGGAAGGUUGUGGGGGGCAG